rnacentral:rRNA from 1 species
CCUACGGGUGGCUGCAGUGAGGAAUAUUGGUCAAUGGACGAGAGUCUGAACCAGCCAAGUCGCGUGAAGGAUGACUGCCCUAUGGGUUGUAAACUUCUUUUAAGAGGGAAGAGCAGAAGACGGUAUCCCUUGAAUAAGCCACGGCUAACUACGUGCCAGCAGCCGCGGUAAUACGUAGGUGGCAAGCGUUGUCCGGAUUUACUGGGUGUAAAGGGCGUGCAGCCGGGAAGGCAAGUCAGAUGUGAAAUCCCGCGGCUCAACCGCGGAACUGCAGUUGAAACUGGUUUUCUUGAGUACCGGAGAGGUCAGCGGAAUGCGUGGUGUAGCGGUGAAAUGCGUAGAUAUAAGGAAGAACACCGAUGGCGAAGGCAGAUGACUGGACGGCAACUGACGGUGAGGCGCGAAAGCGUGGGGAGCAAACAGGAUUAGAUACCCCGGUAGUC